AUUGAAAGCACCGGAUCCUGUACGAUCACCGAAGUUAAGCAACGUCGAGGCUGGUCAGUACCUAGACGGAUGACCGCUUGUGAAUACCAGGUACUGUAAG